rnacentral:rRNA from 1 species
GAUCAUGGCUCAGGAUGAACGCUAGCGGCAGGCUUAACACAUGCAAGUCGAGGGGCAGCAUAAUGGAUAGCAAUAUCUAUGGUGGCGACCGGCGCACGGGUGCGUAACGCGUAUGCAACCUACCUUUAACAGGGGGAUAACACUGAGAAAUUGGUGCUAAUACCCCAUAACAUCAUGAGAGGCAUCUUUUAUGGUUGAAAAUUCCGAUGGUUAGAGAUGGGCAUGCG